CAUGGAAGAAUAGUAAUUUAUCUCAUGUUAAGUUUUUGAUGUUCUCAAGGGUGGAUUGACGACAAUCGUCUCGAUAGGCAGAACACUGAAUUGGCGAAGCAAAUGCAAAUGUUGAACUGUCGUUUCUUGAUCUCCGUCUCCACCGACGCUCAGCUGUUGAGCAAUCUCUUGUUUUAUUACAAUUUACAACACAGCGACAGCGCACAGUUGGAUUUUCUUUUUCAGCUAAGCUUCGUCCAUCAUCUUUGGAUUACAAGAUGAGACUGCAUCUGCAACUGUCAGGAAGAUGUUGUCUUGGCCUAUCAAAUCUGGAAACUUGGACGCGUGAAGCUUGUGGAUCACCACGGGCCCUGGAUUUGCCAGAAUCAGCUGUUUCCAUUCACAAACAUUGCUUCUGACGAUAGAUAUCUUGAAUCUGAUAGCUAGUUCUGUGUUUGUGUUUGGUUGCGAAGAAAACUUAUGAAGAUGGACAGAUUUUUUUGUGUGAACUGAUGGUUUUGGUUUGUAAUCAGAAUAUAUAUUGAGCACUGGAAUCGCCAAAAAUAAGACAUUCCGAGUAAGUAACAAGAAAAUGUUACCAAGCAA